UCCGAGUUGACCCCGGCAGUCUCCUAUGAGUCCCCGGCAUUAUCCGCUGGCAACAUAGAACGAGGGUUGCGCUCGUUGCGGGACUUAACCCAACAUCUCACGUCUCCAUGAGGUUCCGUACAUGUCAAGGGUAGGUAAGGUUUUUCGCGUUGCGUCGAAUUAAACCACAUCAUCCACCGCUUGUGCGGGCCCCCGUCAAUUCCUUUGAGUUUUAAUCUUGCGACCGUACUCCCCAGGCGGAUGACUUCUCGCGUUAGCUGCGUUACUAAAGGAUUUAACUCCUCCAACAACUAGUCAUCAUCGUUUAGGGCGUGGACUAC
rnacentral:misc_RNA from 1 species